CCCUUAGAUGUUCUGGGCCACACGCGCGCUACAAUGGUCUUCGCAAACGGAUGCAUUCUCGAAGGAGAAUGCCAAUCUUGGAAUCUAUGCCUUGGUCGGGACAGUUGCUUGCAAUUUUUCGACUCGAACCAGGAAUUCCUUGUAAUCGUGAUUCAUCACAUCACGAUGAAUACGUCCCUGCCCUUUGUACACACCGCCCGUCGCUCCUACCGAUCGAAGAGUUAGGUGAAUUGUUUUGAUCGAUAAGAUUUGACUAUGGUCAACUCUCGUUGUGAAAUUCUGUGAAUCUGACUGUUUAGAGGAAGGAAAAGUCGUAACA
rnacentral:rRNA from 1 species